GAGAAUCCACUUGAUGGAAGAGAAUCAGCGAUUAAAAUAGGUGAGGAGUGUUUCACAAGAACAAGGUCAGUCAUCUGAGUCAGCCAACGUUGGCAGCAUAUUUGACCCUCCACAUGACGAUGAUAGUUCAGACAAUUCUCUCAGAUUGGGAAAUACAACAAAGUACAUUUUAGCACUCAGAUCUUCAACAGUUUGGAGGACAAUUGAAGUUACAGGUUAACAAAUGAAUUUAUCUUUGUCUUUUAUAUUAUCAAAUAGAGUAUGGCAUGUGUUAAUCAAUAAGCAAUGGGGAAAUUAAAGUGCAUUUUUCCCUUAAGUAGUAUUUGAAUUGAUGGAUUUGAAUUUAAAUUUUACAUUUAAAAUCCUUUGCUUGGAUGGUAUAAAAAAUUUUAAAGGUAAAAGAGAGAUGAGUUGAGAUUUGAAAUAGAAAUAGAAGAUUGAAAGUUGUGAGCUUACCUUUAUUCUUCAAUUGGUGAGAAAUAAGAACAAGCAAUGAGAGGAAAGAGAAGAGUAACAAAUGCACUGAUAGUGAAGAUAUUAGAAAUUAAAGAGAAUUUGAAAUUACAAAAAAUUUAAAAUGAAAACAUGGAUUUAGACUUGGAUUAAAUCUAAAUCUAUAAACUUUUAUAUAUCCAAUUGAAGAAUUUGGUUAAAUACAAACCUUAAUUCAAAUCCUCAUGCAUUCAAGCAUAGCAUAAAAGUAUUUUCAUGAGUGACAGGGCAACCUAAAGAGAAUUGUAGAGCACUGUAGUAUAUAAUCUCUUGAUGUACGCUAAUGGUUGGUUAACCGUUAACCAUCAAAAUUUAAGAUUGCAUUGAUUUUGAAAUAUUACUUGCCACAUGUAUCCCAUAUUGCUUCUUUGAGAAUACUUUAAGGAUAAAACACACUUUAACUCAAUGUGUGGCUAGCAAGAACCAGUUGUACUGUAAAUUAUAGUUUUCUAGGGUUUCUAGUCUAUUACAAGUUGUGCACAGUUUUUCGUUUCAAAGUGUAUUUAGUAUAUAUGCAUCUUUGCAUAAAUCAAAUGUGAGACUGAAUUUAUUUAGUGUGUGUGUGUGAAAGGAUCAGAUGGAUACGUGGCAUGCAAAUUCUUAAAGAUUAACUUCAGUUUAUUUACUGUCAGUGUUGCAAAUUGUCUUUAUUUAAAUAAACUAAAGAUGUGAUGCACUAUAAGACAGAGCCAAAUACUCUGAGGUUUUCACUUUUUAGGGGAAAUUUAACCGC